rnacentral:rRNA from 1 species
UACGUAGGUGGCGAGCGUUGUCCGGAUUUACUGGGCGUAAAGAGCGCGCAGGCGGCUGGUCAAGUCCGAUGUGAAAGCUCCCGGCUUAACUGGGAAAUUGCAUCGGAAACUUAUCGGCUUGAAGGUGGGAGAGGGUAGCGGAAUUCCCGGUGUAGUGGUGAAAUGCGUAGAUAUCGGGAGGAACACCAGUGGCGAAGGCGGCUACCUGGCCCAUUCUUGACGCUGAGGCGCGAAAGCUAGGGGAGCAAACGGG